rfam:Lactobacillus casei ATCC 334, complete genome.
UCCAUCGUGAGGUGGAAUCUGAAGAAAGCCAGAUGAGCAAAAUACUGCACUGAUGAACAAGAAGCGGCAACAAGGCCGAAAGUGACUGGAUGAGGUUGCCAAGCAAACUAAAAGUCCAAUACUAAUCGAAUUCACAACGGUAAAGCUGACGGUGACAUGGUAUGAAAGCUGAUAGC